rnacentral:rRNA from 1 species
GGACGAGAAGACCCUAUUGAGCUUUAGUGAAGGAUGAAGCUGAGGUUGACGGCUGUAUAGGUCGUAUUGUUAAUGUAUUAAUAAAAUUGUGUUUUAUUACGAAUCUUUAGUUGGGGCGACUGAGGAACAAUAAAAGCUUCCUUUGAAAAUAAUGAGGUUAGUAAGGAAUAUUGCUGGCAAGCUAUUUGAUCCAGUAGUGUAUAUUGAUUAAAGGAAAAAGUUACCAUAGGGAUAACAGCGUAGUCUUUCUGGAGAGAUCUUAUCGAAAGAAGGGUUUGCGACCUCGAUGUUGGACUAAGAUAUCCUAAGGGUGUAGAAGUUCUUAAGGGUUGGUCUGUUCGACCAUUAAAAUCUUACGUGAUCUGAGU